AUGAAAAAGCAAAACGCGCGAGGGAAGGAGAGGCCACCGCCUGCAGGGGCCGUGGGACAGCCCCCGCACCCCGCGCCCCCUACCCCCAGUCCAGCGGGAAGCCAGCCGUUUUUCGGCUGCGGGAGCUCGCCCGGCCUCCCGAACGGCUGCCGCACGGGGCAGGACCACGAGGCGAGCCGCCGGCCCGCAGCGGCCGCGACAGCCCAAAGCCUUCGGCGAGCAGCGGGGCCGCAGGGGCGGCGGCGGGCGCCGGACGAGCACCUCGAACGAGCACCGGGCACCGAUGCCCGAAACGCGGAGAAGCCGGCAGCGGCGGACGGAGGCGCCGCGGGAGCCCUCGGGGAACGGCCGCACCGCCCGGCCCGCGGGGACCGCUCCGUGCCCCACAACCCCGGCACCCGGCUCGCCCCGGGGCCCCCCCCGCCGGUGCAGAGACACGGCCCGGGGCGAGGAGACGGAGGGGGGGGGGGAAGGGGGAUCGCGGCCGCGCUCCGCAGGUUCCGCAGGUUCCGCAGGUUCCGCAGGCCCCGGGAGCCCAGGACGCCGCCGGCGCCUCCGCUCGGUAGCGGGGGCGAGGCGGUCCCCGUCCUGCCGCCUGCCCCCCACUUACAGCGCGCAGCUCCCCGGUCCGGUCCUUCAUCGCGCCCCGCCGCCGCUCAGCCCGGCCGCCGCUCGGGGGAGGGGCGGGCGCGGCACAUGCGCGCAGCCCGGCGGAGCGGAGCGGAGCGGCCCCGCGGGGCGCUGGGAGCGGCCGGGGCGGAGGGGGGUCCUACGGGAGGGGGGUGGCGCUGCGGGGUGCCACGCGUGGGGGUAAGCUGGCAGCGGGGCGCGCCGGCAGGGGUCGUGCCGGGGGGCGCCCACAGGAGGGGCUUGGCAGCCCGCGGGGGCUGGGACGGCGGUGGGGCAGGGGCCCCGGAGCUGGGCCCUCGAGGAGCCGUGAGGCGACCCAGGCCCAAAGCAACGGCGCCAGGUGGCUGCUGGGGGGGGGGAGGGCUUGCCACUGUCAGGAGGCUCCCCUGA
rnacentral:lncRNA from 1 species